GGUCGAUUAGCUCAGCGGACCCGAGAGCGGCGGUCUUCUAAACCGCAGGACGUUGGUUCGAAUCCAACAUCGACCA
rnacentral:tRNA from 1 species